rnacentral:lncRNA from 1 species
AGAGGUACCAACUUCCCAGGGCUCUCUGGAAGAAGGAUGCUGUGCUUACAUCUGGGUGGGGUUUCUGCCUUAGGCAUUCAUUUUCCCUUUGUAAGUGAGGGGAGCUGGUGGCAAGGAUGUUCUCACACAAUACCAAGUCUCUCAGGGAAUGCCAGAAUCCCCAAAAAGCUCCCUAAGAAGAUGCAGUGUACAGGAGGAUGCAAAACAUAUUCAAGAGCUUGCUGGUUUGGGCAGUCCUGCAGUACACAGAUGAUUGUGAGAUCGCCCUUGAAGAAAAAAAUCUCAUGUGCAACAUUCCAGUCAACAAAAUUGAAGAUAAAAUCCUUGGGCCUGAAAGAGGGCUGUUCCCUGCCUCAGCAGCCUUGUUCUUUAUCUUUCUUAAUGACACUGAGAACUUUUAUGAUAUUUGAUUUGUAA